GCUCAGAUGUCCGAGUGGUUAAGGAGAUAGACUUGAAAUCUAUUGGGAUUUUCCCGCGUAGGUUCGAACCCUGCUCUGAGCG
rfam:Rhabditophanes sp. KR3021 genome assembly, scaffold: RSKR_contig0000044